GCCCCGGUAGCUCAGCGGUUAGAAGAUAUGACCACAGCGACGGCCUUGUAAGCCGUAGGUCGCGGGUUCGAAACCCGCCCGGGGCUCCA
rnacentral:tRNA from 1 species